AAAUGACCCCACAUCAAAUAAAAUAAAAAGGAAGUUACCAAAAAGUCCCUAGCAUUGGCCGAAAGGGGGCAGCCCCACGGACUGUGGUUGGGUCUGCGGUACAUGCUGCAGGUCUGUGGUUCAUAGCCUGCAUCUCCUCACCUUGUCCCUUGACCCACGACACCCAACCAUGAGGCAUGGGUCCACCUAUCGGCCAUAGGUGCCAUCCGUAGGUGUGUCUUUUUUGGCGAUUUUUGGGUGAACUUUUAGGGUGCUUCUCAAGGACCCUUGGUUGGUUCUUAAGAAAUCAUACCUUGACGUUUAAAUCCUAAACCCUUCAUUCUAAGUACGAUAAUCCAUUUUACAAUUCUAACCCACACACCAAACUCUAAAACUCUUACGUACAACUCUAGUUUCACCUACUAGUUUUGGGUGUUACAUGAAAAUCCAUUGAAGGAUGCAAAAAUCA
rnacentral:misc_RNA from 1 species